UACGGGGGGGGCAAGCGUUGUUCGGAAUUACUGGGCGUAAAGGGCUCGUAGGUGGCCAACUAAGUCAGACGUGAAAUCCCCAGGCUCAACCUGGGAACUGCGUCUGAUACUGGAUGGCUUGAAUUCGGGAGAGGGAUGCAGAAUUCCAGGUGUAGCGGUGAAAUGCGUAGAUAUCGUGAGGAACACCAGAGGCGAAGGCGGCUACCUGGACAAUUGCUGACGCUCAGGCACGAAAGCGUGGGGAGCAAAAGGG
rnacentral:rRNA from 1 species